GAAAGGAAUUCCAAAAUGGUUAGGAGGUUCAUUGUAACUGAAUUGGCGAUAGCCACAGUGAGUUCGAUUCUCUCUCCUUUCA
rnacentral:tRNA from 1 species